rnacentral:tRNA from 1 species
GCCGACGUGGUGAAAUUGGUAGACACGCCGUCUUGAGGGGGCGGUGGCUUUGCCGUGUGAGUUCGAAUCUCACCGUCGGCACCA